UGCAGUCUGCCCAGUGUUCCCAUGCCUCUCUCCCACUGGUGAGAGCUGAUGGUGACAGCUAGAACUCCCAAGGCCCAGCGAGUGGACCAUUAGCCAAGAGUCACACUGCCCACCACAUACCCAGUCUCUGACUCCUGAGGUCUCCUGAUCCACUUUUGUGGAAGCCCAAGGCCAGCCUCAUCAAGUGGCAGUUGCUCUGUAACUUUCUGUUCCCCCAGGAGAUCCACCCAGCCACAGUGACUGCAGAAGCCCUUCAAGAAAGGCACCAGCUGGGCCAACGAUGGAGCUCAUCCCCACCCUCAUGAUAUGAAGAAGUGUGACUGUCUACAAUGAGUCAUCAGUGGUAUUAAUCCUCCUGGUCACAGCCCAGAAGCCACAGCUUCAAGGUCUUCAACUAAGAGGGAGAGUCCCUGGUUUUGACUACUUCAGGUUUUAUAGAGUUAAGAAGCCCUAACAACCAGCGUCCUGAAACAUUAGGAAUACAGGCUUGUGUUUCAGCUUCCUGUGUUAUACUGAUGGAAACAAACAAACAAAUGCCUUAAC
rnacentral:lncRNA from 1 species